CUUGAACUCUGGCGUCAGGCCUAACACAUGCAAUUCGAACGAGUGGCGGACGGGUGAGUAAUGUCUGUGAAACUGCCUGAUGUAGGGGUAUAACUACUGGAAACGGUAGCUAAUACUGCAUACCAUCGGAUGUGCCCAGAGGGUAUUAGCUAGUAGGUGGGGUAAAGGCUUACCUAGGCGACGAUCCCUAGCUGGUCUGAGAGGAUGACCAGUCACACUGGAACGGCGUAACGGUGCAGAAUCCGACGGGAGGCAGCAGGGGGGAAUAGUGCACAAGGGGGGCAAGCCUGAUGCAGCCAUGCGGGGGGUAUGAAGAAGGCCUUCGGGUUGUAAAGUGGUGGCAUCGGGGAGGCGAUACCCGGAGAAGAAACACCGGCUAACUCAGUGCCAGCCGCCGCGGUAAUAC
rnacentral:rRNA from 1 species